UCCCUGGUGGCUCAGAUGGUAAAGCGUCUGUUUGCAAUGCAGGAGACCCGGGUUCGAUCCCUGGGUCGGGAA
rnacentral:tRNA from 1 species